rnacentral:lncRNA from 1 species
AAAAAUUCUCAAAAAACUCACGGAAAAUGUCACUGAUUCCAAGAGUGUUCGGCGAUCGACGAAGCAGCGUCUUCGAUCCAUUCUCAAUUGACGUGUGGGAUCCCUUCAGGGAAUUGGGCUUUCCAGGCUCCAAUUCACGGGAGACCUCUGCAUUCGCUAACACACGAGUCGAUUGGAAGGAAACUCCUGAAGCACAUGUGUUUAAGGCCGAUCUUCCUGGUCUUAAGAAGGAGGAAGUGAAAGUGGAGAUUGAAGACGAUAGGGUUCUUCAGAUUAGCGGAGAGAGGAAUGUGGAGAAAGAAGAUAAGAAUGAUACUUGGCACCGUGUGGAACGCAGCAGCGGCAAAUUCAUGAGAAGAUUCAGGCUCCCGGAGAAUGCGAAAAUGGAUCAAGUUAAAGCGGCGAUGGAGAAUGGAGUGCUUACUGUAACUGUUCCAAAAGAAGAGGUGAAGAAGCCUGAUGUCAAGUCCAUUGAGAUCACCGGUUAGACGCUAUAUAUAAAAAUUUAUAUGUAAAUGUAGCGACCACUCUACGGAUUGCGUACUGAUGAAGAUGUGGAGUUGUUCUUCCUUCAUGUCUCCUUAUUUGGCCUAUUAACCGCUAAUGUAAUAAUAUUCCUGUUUUUGUACUGAGGUUCUGUUCAAAUCUUUUAUCUUGCUAUUUCCUUCUUUUUGCCUUUCUAUGUUCCAUCAGUUUCUCUUCGAGCCUUUUGAGUGAGAGACUUUUUGCUACUUUCUGUUCUCAUGUUCUGCAUUUUCAGUUAUAAGAUUCAAAAACAUAAUUAACAAAUCUAGGCUGUUCAAAACUUAUUGAAGCUCAUCGAAUUUGCGACAUAAUAUCAAUCAGAUGUUCAAUGCAUCAAUUCCCAUUUAGUUGAAUCCUGAGUUAGAUUUAGUUGAGGUUGGUAAUAUGUCAAACUAGGAGGGGCGGCUGGUUUUUUUUGUUCUCCUGUUAUGCGUUCUAAAUUUCAUUUUCUUACAAAUAAUUAAAUACAUAUAAAGAAUUAAUAAGAGUGGACAAUAACAGCAAAUUAGAAACUUGCUACUCACCGCCAUCAGCAUCACUUCAUCACUAGUUAGCCCCAAGUCAGUUUCAGUUGGUUCUUUUUUAUCAACAAAGUGUUAACCUUUUAAAAAAAAAUGAGCAUUAAGUUGGCUAAGCUCAUACAUUAGAAGCUUAGCUUCCCAUCGAUUGAAAGCAGCUUUUGUGUUUUCCUAAUAGUAACAAUCAGGCCAGCAAGUUUGUAAAAAUGACCGUAGGAAGAAAAGAUGUGCAUUCUGAGGCAACCUACAGAUGGUAAAACAGCUACUGAGCUGGUAUUACUAGACAGCACAAAUUUCAGGUCCUGGCCAUAUUGAAACUAGUGACUAGUAUUUAAGUAUUACACAUGUUUAAACCAAAAGUAUGAAAUAGUUCAUUAAAAGACUCGGGCUUUUUGACCAUUAAAUCUAAAUACAAUGUGCAUCUUUUUAUACAAAAUGAUUCUUUUGCUCUUGUUUUAUAUAUUGUCAUUGUCAUGCAAGCCAAAACAUAAAACCAGCUAUAUUCAAGCCAAGAUCAAAAAUACAAUACAAGACGAGGAAGACGGUUGUUAUAUUAAAGAUAACUUCUUCUAUUGAUGAACACCAUUCAUUCUGGCUGGUGACAAUGCAAUAAGUUCUCUGGAAAUGCAGUAACAAGAAAGAUGGUUUAGCUCCCAAUCAUAAUGAAGUCAGUUUUCAUGAUUUCAAAAUUUUUUCCCAAUACCUCAUAGCAAAAUUAAGAGCCAAAUAAAUGACAUCAAGAACAGAACUACAAAGCUGCAUAAAGCCCCGAGGAAGAAAUAUUCGAUGGAAGAGUCGAGACGCCGAAAUACUGACGGAAGAAUGACGAUCCGAUAGCAUAUUACUCCAAUGAGUUAAUCAAGUCCUUAAAAUUAAACACCAGCCAAUCAGCUUUGGCUGCAACUGGUUCUCGAAGUUGAACUCCUCCAUAGCAAAUAAACAAGUUAUUGUGAUGCAGACUGAGUAAGUUGUCCGAAAUCAAGGAGAUUAAUAACUGGUUACCUCAUAAAGCUUGGUGGCUCAUUGAUAUCUUGGAAAACAAAGAAAAAAAAUAUAGUGGCAAAAAGCUCAGCUGAAUCAGAAAACAAGACUGACUAUAAGAGAACUUGUCUAGUUGAUGGGAUUGUUCAAAGAGUUGGAGGCCAAGGUUCCUACGCCAGUUCAAUUGUUUACAAAUAUUAAAGCAGUAAUGCAGAUAGCUAAUAAUUAUGUAUUUUAUGAAAGGACUGAGCAUUUAUAAAUUGAUUUCCACUUUAUAAGGAAAAAGGUUCAACAAGGUAUGAUACAUCCAGAGUAUGUAUCAACUAAUAAGAAGGAAGCUGAUGUGCGGACAAAAGGGCUGGAAAGUGCUCAACAUUAUCAUUUGAUAUCCAAUCUAGUGACAUUGUACAUUUUCUCACCACUUAGUUUGAGGGGGGAUUGUUGAAAUGAUAAGGUGACAGUUAGGUGACAUUUAUAUAUGUGAAGCAUUUACAAGUAUUGGUGCCAAUCUAUUAGAAUAGCUAGUACAUAUUAGGGAGUUAGUGAUAGUUAAUUAAGUAGCUGAUUUAGUUAUAUAUACUUACACGUGUACAAUGUAAUAGUUUAGAGAAUUGUAUUUUCAUUUCUUAAACUUCAGUUGAAUUAAAAGCUUCUAGUAAGUUCUCUCUCUACACCUUUCUUCUUCGAUCUGGCAAUCAAGCUCAAUUCUCACCCAACAAUGGUGAAAUUUAACAACUUCUAGUAGUCGUUAUUUUUCCAAGGCGUAUUUGUCAAUUGUUUUAUGUGAUAUUUAACGAAUCUUUCAUUUAUUUAUAGGAUAUGAUGGUCAAAUUUCACUGUCCUUAAUUACUCCUUAGAAUAAAAGAGGGAGAAUAUAUGGUGUCAUUUUGGUCCACGUACUUUUUGUCAUGUCCAUCUAAUUAUUACGCUAGCACUCCCUCCGUUCACUUUUACUUGUUCACUUUAAAUUUUUUAUCUCCCUUAAAAAGUAAUAAUUGUAGUAUGUAUUUUAUCAUAUAACCCCUAAUAAUGAUAACAUUUCAAAAAGUCGAGAGAAAUAAUAUUGAAUAUGAACAAUUAAUGAUAAGGGUAAAAUAGAAAAAGAAAAGAGUGUCUUUCUCUAGAUUUAGUAUAAUGGACAAGUAAAAGCAAAAAUAUAAUUUUAGUAUAGUGGACAAGUAAAAGUGAAUGGAGUGAGUAAGUCUUAAGGAAUAAACUAUAUGUGAGCAUGUUUACUCAAACUUCUAAAAUCAGCUUAUUUUGAGAAAUAUUUUUCAAAACAUACUUUUGAUAAGAAAUAUUUUGUGUUGACUACUCUGAAAAAUACUUCAAAACAACAAUUAGUAUUUGUUCAAACUUUUAAAAAAUACUUUUAUGUGUAUUUUUUUAAAGUGUCUUUGAAGAAAGUAUUUUUGAGGAAAUUUUACGUUUUCUUUUUCAAGAAAAAUAUUUCUAAUUCAACUCAAAAAUAUUUUUUUCUUUUAAAAGUUUGGCCAUAAAAAAUCUUGGCAAAACAUGUCAAUAGCACCUUUGAUCAAUCUUUUCGGGUGUAUGGAUAGAAAUCUGACCAUAUGGUGAAAUAGCGUUAAAAGAAAUGGCGAGGGGCCGACUAAGUUGUGGUUGUAUCCAUAUGGCAUCAUGAUGACAAGUAUCAUGGCCGCUGUCGAGAUCGAACUACUAAAAAGCUUGUAUGGAGGAGUAUAAGCCGUGACACUUAAGGGGAACGACCUGAGAUUCGGGUAUUAUAACCAAGAACCGUUGGACAAAAGGGAAUACUUAUUAUAUAUAUAGGAGGUAAGAGAACAAGAAGGGGCUUUUUCCCCUUCAUCGAAAAGAGAGAGAAGAAACGGAGAAGGCUUCUAAGGAAAAACAAGAGAAGGUUUAGAUCUUGACCGUAAAUCUUUGUAACCUUUGUUACUGAAUCGAGAAAGAUAGACCCUUCUUUUCCAUUUCUACUCUUACAUUGGAGAAUAACUUCAAGAAUGUAAGCCUAUCAUUUAUGUUUGAUACUCUUUAUAAUUUUAAUACUUUUAUGAGCUUGGUUAUAUCAUAUUCUCUUAUUCAAUGUGUUUUGAUCUAGAGUUAAUUAUUCUUCGCUAGGAUUUAUCCUCUGUUAGGAUUUAUCCUCUAUUUUCUUAUUAAUUAGUUUAACAAAGAGCUUAAUACUCUUUGGUCAAACAGCGGGCCGGAAGAUUGACAUAUAAAGAAACUUUCAAAAACUAUUAAAGUUUAGUGGUUAUUAAUUUGUUGUAGCUACCAUUUACUAUAUUACUUCUUAUAGCUAUAUUUUAAGGUUUUUAGAGUGUAUUCGAUGUAUUUAAGCUACUGUAUUCAUGAACAGAGUAGCAUUUCUAGGCGCGAAACGGGGGAUUACAACUAGAUAGAUUUUUGCAUUCGACUGUAUUCACGACAUGAAAUAUGAGAUUACAGCUAGACAGAUAUUGUAUUCGACUGUAUUCACGAUAUAUAAUUGUGAAUACGGUAACGUAAAUAGCGUAAACCGUAGUCUAUUGAGCUGAUUUUAAACGAAAAGUAAAUCAAUUAACACAAUAAACUCCUAAUAUAACUCAACUAACUCAAUUAUAAGUCUGAAUACAUAAAGUCAUAUGAAUACAUGAAUUAUAUUAAUUAAAAAUAUGGAUACAUUCAUAAAAUAUAGCGAGACAACGAAUAUAAUGAAAUACAUAUAAUACAGCGAGAUAUAUUGAAAUAUAAUGAAAAAAAUAGUAACAAAUUCUUCGAGUUGCUCAGCUGCAAAACUCUGAAUACAUCGAGAUAUAUUAAAAUACAAUGAAAAAAAAGGGGUAACGGACUCUCAAGUUGCUCAAUACCAAAACUCUGUCGGCUUUGUUCAAGAAUAACCCUAAUGUCAUCUCGUCGAUAGCAGAUUUUGACGAAUUUUCACUUUGUUUCCAUCGAUAACCGAUGAAACGGAAUUGCUUGGAUCGCCGAAGAGUUUCAACGAAGGAAUAGAAUCAGUCGUGUUUUCGGCAUCAUAAAUUUCAAAACUUUGCAGUUCAAAUCCAUGGCAAAGAGAUGAGAUUCGAAACCGCACAAAUAAAAAUAUCUUUGAGAAGUUCUUUAAAAGUAAGCACCACGCUAUCAAACGAGCAAGAACUUCUGGAACUAAAUCUUUUUGCCGCCUAACUUUUGCAAAUUAUUGUUAUAGCAGCAUUACAAGAUUGAAACAUAUACAUUAAUAAAAAUAAUAAAAGACGAUGUGAAUGACAGAGAAUUUUAGUUGGAGAGAAGUUUUAUCAAAUACAGUAAUUAUGUGAGAAAAAAUUAGAAAAAGAAGAGAGAAAAAUAAUAAUUAGCAUAUAUAAUAAUUUAAGAAUAGAAAUUAACCAUAACUAGAUAUUUUGCUAUAAAUAUUAAAAGAUAGCUAUAAAAUAUAAUUUUUUGAAAAUAAUAUGUAUUUGAAAUAAAUAAAAAGUGAAGUUUUGCUAUAUCCUAAUAUAUAUAGCACUCUACUUUGGGAAACUAUUUAGUUGUAGUAAUAUAUUAUCUCUUCCUCAAUUACUUGAAAAAUUCAAAGUAGAACUUAACAUUUUUUACAAUAAAUGCAUAAUUAAAAAGUCAUACGUAAAAAAGAUUGAGAAUGAUUUGAAAGUAAAUUAAUUUUACUAUCUAAAUGUAAAUUUAUGAACCUUUUACAAAAAGACGGAAGUAGAAUUGCACAGAAUAUCCUCAUAGCUACUCGUCAAAUUAGGUAAUAGGCUAGGAGAAACGAACGAGAUUUAUCCAGAAACUUCUGACAUCAGCAUGUCUUCCUUGGGUUAGAAAAAUACCGAAGCGGAAAGAAAUAUCGGGAAUCUACUUGACUCUCCUCUACGCACACCUAUAAAUACCCAUCGGCUCCUCCUCCUAGAACCAGGGUCGUUGAAACUUGAAAGGAAAUUGAGAAGAGUUAUAACAAAAUUUGCUGAAAAUGUCACUGAUUCCAAGAAUGUUCGGCAAUCGACGAAGCAGCGUCUUAGAUCCAUUCUCAAUUGACGUGUGGGAUCCCUUCAGGGAAUUGGGCUUUCCAGGCUCCAAUUCACGGGAGACCUCUGCAUUCGCUAACACACGAGUCGAUUGGAAGGAAACUCCUGACGCACAUGUGUUUAAGGCCGAUCUUCCUGGUCUUAAGAAGGAGGAAGUGAAAGUGGAGAUUGAAGACGAUAGGGUUCUUCAGAUUAGCGGAGAGAGGAAUGUGGAGAAAGAAGAUAAGAAUGAUACUUGGCACCGUGUGGAACGCAGCAGCGGCAAAUUCAUGAGAAGAUUCAGGCUCCCGGAGAAUGCGAAAAUGGAUCAAGUUAAAGCGGCGAUGGAGAAUGGAGUGCUUACUGUCACUGUUCCAAAAGUAGAGGUGAAGAAGCCUGAUGUCAAAUCCAUUGAUAUUGCUGGUUAGAUAGGCGCUUUAGCUAACUGAAAUAUGACAGUACGCUAUGUUAUUUGAGCAAGUAUAUGUGAAAUCGAAUAGAAGUUGCUCUGUUUUUGUAUCUUGUCUAUAAUCGAGUCUGUUUUUCGCUUAAAGGCUUGUUUGUUGUAAUUUUGUUGAAAUUCUAUGUGGAAAAGGCAAUAGUGUUGUUAUAGAAUCAAAGUAUUGUUUAUACUUCAAUUCUGUUCUAUCUCCCAUAUUUUACUUCUUCUGUCUUCUUAGCUCCUUUUGGGUAUUGGUUUACGUAGUGAAGUAGAGAGCUUUAAGUUUUUUACUCUUGCACUUUAAUUUCGUACAAAGUGUCAAAGUGAAGAUAUAUUGACCUAUUAACUAAUCCACAAUUAAAACCAUUACGAUCGAUUUACCAAAUCAUUAUCAUUUUAGUGGGAGAAUUUGAAAAAAGAAUUACAUCAAGCAUACAUGAAGAUAAACUCCGUCGGUGUACUUAGAUUAGUUGAAAAAUUAAACUAGUUAAAUUAGCUGAACAUCAUUGACGUGAAUGAAAAAUUUUCUCGUUUGAGGGGAAUGCAAAACCUCUUGUAAUAGAUCUUUACUUCCUCAAUGGACUUUUCAGCUUGCUUGAAUUUAGAUUAAUUAAAUCGUGAAUUUAGAUUAGGAUUGCAAUACGGGAGUUUUGAAAAAGGAUCAAGGCUUAAGUACACCAUGUUGGGUCUAAUUGCGGGCGUAAGUGUACACAAUUAACAUGUAAUAAAGUGAUAAGAAAGUAUUGUUCCUGUGAGAAUUUAUGAUUAACCAGUGAUUUUUGUAAAUAAAUUAUGAAUUAAUAAUCAAGUAAGGAAAUAAAAUCGUAAUAGAGCAAACAAAUAUUUAGAAAGAAUACAUGAGAUGGGUAUAUUCCAGGUAUGGGCGUUCAUAAAAACCUGAAAAAUCGAACCAAAUCGAAAAUCAAACCAAAUCGGCCAAAAAAAUCGAUACUUUUUUGUUUGGUUUGAUUUUGGUUUUAAAUUUUAAAAAUCGAUCAAAUUUAGUUUGGUUUUGAUUAUUAUCAGAAAAAAAUCGAACCAAACUGACUAUAGGAGUAACUAUUUUAAAUUUAUUAUUACACCUAUAUAUAUGUAUAUUGUAAUACAAGGUUUCAAAAUAUUUAUGGUAAAUGUUAAUAGUUUGCACUUUUAAUAUAGUUCUUUACCUUUAUAUUUUAGUUUAAUUGGUAGUUUUCUUUUGUUUGGUGCAAGAAUUUAUUCUGUGUUAAAAAUAACAUAUUUUUAAUUGAAUCCUUAAAUUAUUCAUCAUUAUUUGAUUCAAUUAUCAUCAAUAUAUUUUGGUAAAUAAUAGAUUUCUCAAAGGACAAUUGAUUUGAUACUGUUACAAUGAAAAAGUAGUCUCCUGAGUAUGUGUUUGAUAGUAUAUGUCUUAUAUUUAAGAAAAAACAGACAAAUAACCAAAAAAAUCAAAAAACCGACAUAAACCGAAUCGAGAAAAAACUAACCUAAUUGGUUUGGUUUGAUUCUAUUAUUUGAAAAAUCGACUUACUUGGUUGGUUUCUUUUUAGGGAGAAACCGAUCCAAACCGAACCAUGAACACCCCUAAUUCCAGGGUUAUGGGAUUCAUCUAUUGUGUUUUCCGGAUUGAUAUAAUCACCUGACUUAUCUAAUCUACUUAUUAGCAGGGUUUAUUAUGCUCGCGAAGUUAUUUUGACGCUUCGCUCGCCUAUUCGAGCCAACCUAAGACUAUAUGUCUAUAGAAUCAAACUUGACAAGACGCAUGUAUAUUUCCUACAAAUAUAACCAACUAAGGCAACUAGAAUAUGUCUAUCCUAAUCGCGAAUCUAUUCUCCGAUGACCAAAUUCAAGAACUUACUCUAUUCAGUCCUAUAUGCAAUCUAUAGUUUCACGUUCGAGUUCAAAUAUAAAUUCGUAGAUAGUACUCUAUUAUUAGCUACGCCUUAGAAUAAUUAAGUGCAAGAUUGAAUGAACAAAUUAAUAUAAUAAAAUCGAGCAAUAUUAUCAACCGUCAAACUACAAUAGUCUAUAACAACUCAUAACCUAGAUAAUGAAGUUCUUAGCCACUCAUGUUCAUAACAAUACUCAAAAUAAUAUUUUAAACAUAAAAGCUAUGAAUACUAGAUGGAGAAUGGAAGAAUAAAUGAAUUUCAUGCUCCUGAAUAUUUCGUACUUAUAUUUUUCUCUCAAAGUAAUGUUUCCCCCUCCAAAAUAGAUUUAGACUUGCUUUUAUAUGAGUUGGGGGCAUUUUAGCUCGAAAUAACCAAGUCUCAAGUGAAAUAUGACAAGUUCAUGUCCCCAGUUUCGCUGGAAAUUUUGAAGGUCUGAUUUCUGUGCCACAGGCAGCACCCCACGCUAGCGCGGGCGCUACUUUGUGGCCUUUUUUCAAGCUCUUUCUUGAAGCUUGUUUCUUGUACUAAUUUCUAUGUUCUAGGUGCUUUUGAACUUGCUAUCAUACUUGUAUGCUUCUCCGGAGACUCUGAAAGAGGUCUCUGAGCUUGAGCUUGCCUUUUCAUCUCUACUUAAAAACCUUAGGAUUUGGGAGAUUUCUUUGGUAAAUUUGGUUUUAUGUUUGGACAAGGAUUCUACUUUGAAACCUUGAACUCUCAAACUCACUCCGAACUUAUGAAUUGAAUUUUGAACUUUUUCUGCAUUUGUGAUUUUGAACCUUCUUGUAGAAAAUAAGGUAAGAAUCAUAGAUUAGCAGCAAUUAAAGAAUUAUGUACCAAUUAAGAUCAAUCAGCAUAUAAUUUUUUCUUAAUUAAGGAGUCCAAAUUCAAACGGUAAUGGGUAGAAGUUAUUUAAGAAAGGAAACCAAGUAAAUAUCUUUUGUAAAGAAGACCAAUAAGGGGUAAAAUACAUAGAAAGGAAAAAAAUAGCGGUACUAGGUUUGUGAAAACAAGGAAAGAAAAUGAGUAAAAUAGUUAGUAAAGAGUCAAAUCAGGAGUAAAGGAAAGCAUUAAUUUAGAGAAAAAUCGAUUGUAGCAACAUUAAAAGGGAUUCAGAAUCAAUUAAUAGUUGGCAAGACUUUUGAAAGGGAAGUUGUCGUAUAUAAACACAUAGACAUGUCAAGAAUUACUGAAUUUGAAAUAUAUUAGCUACUAAUUUUCAUAUUUGACACUCAAAUGUUAAAAGCAAAAAAGGUUAGUUUUAACAAAUAGUUGGCACGUAUCAUCAUUAAUACUUAUUAAAUUAUUAUUUGAAAAUUUAAAAUUGUAUUAUUUCAUACAUACAAGAUAAUACUUAUUAAAAGUUAUAAACUGUAUUAUUUGUGAAUCAUUCAAGAUAACUCUUAUUCCUUAAUCUGAUAUAUCUUAAAAUUUCUUUUUAUGUACUUCACCAUAUUUAUAUAACAUGUUUCAUAUCAAGCUAAGAACUUUUUUGACUUAGAAUAGUAGUUUGUUCAAAAAUUAUUAUGCCUAGACGGUAUAAUUUAUUUCUUCUUAGACUUACAGAUGACGACUAAUGAAUUUGUAACCAGAGAAGCCGACCCAAUUUCGUAGCGCAUUUGCAUGUUUUUGUAUGGGCUUAUCGAGAUUGGUCCAGAAAGUUCUCGACAUCUACUUUAUCUACGUUCCAGAAUAUAUAGAAGUAUCGAGAAAGCACUAAACACUCUCUAUGACAGUAUAAAUACCUACAGGGGUCCUCUUCCUUGAACCAAGGAACUUGAAAACUGAAAUCACAUUCAAAAAAUUCUCAAAAAACUCACGGAAAAUGUCACUGAUUCCAAGAGUGUUCGGCGAUCGACGAAGCAGCGUCUUCGAUCCAUUCUCAAUUGACGUGUGGGAUCCCUUCAGGGAAUUGGGCUUUCCAGGCUCCAAUUCACGGGAGACCUCUGCAUUCGCUAACACACGAGUCGAUUGGAAGGAAACUCCUGAAGCACAUGUGUUUAAGGCCGAUCUUCCUGGUCUUAAGAAGGAGGAAGUGAAAGUGGAGAUUGAAGACGAUAGGGUUCUUCAGAUUAGCGGAGAGAGGAAUGUGGAGAAAGAAGAUAAGAAUGAUACUUGGCACCGUGUGGAACGCAGCAGCGGCAAAUUCAUGAGAAGAUUCAGGCUCCCGGAGAAUGCGAAAAUGGAUCAAGUUAAAGCGGCGAUGGAGAAUGGAGUGCUUACUGUAACUGUUCCAAAAGAAGAGGUGAAGAAGCCUGAUGUCAAGUCCAUUGAGAUCACCGGUUAGACGCUAUAUAUAAAAAUUUAUAUGUAAAUGUAGCGACCACUCUACGGAUUGCGUACUGAUGAAGAUGUGGAGUUGUUCUUCCUUCAUGUCUCCUUAUUUGGCCUAUUAACCGCUAAUGUAAUAAUAUUCCUGUUUUUGUACUGAGGUUCUGUUCAAAUCUUUUAUCUUGCUAUUUCCUUCUUUUUGCCUUUCUAUGUUCCAUCAGUUUCUCUUCGAGCCUUUUGAGUGAGAGACUUUUUGCUACUUUCUGUUCUCAUGUUCUGCAUUUUCA